AGGUAUUGUGGAGGGGAAGUAUUUCUGAAACUCAGCAUCUCACAACUGGCAUUCCGCAGGGGUCAGUUCUGGGUCCACUGCUCUUUUCUAUUCACACUACAUCUCUGGGGCAGAUGACUGAGUCUCAUGGCUUUUCAUAACAUUGCUGUGCAGACAACACCGAGCUCUAUUUGUCCUUCCAGCCUGACGAUCUGUCCGUCUCUGCAAGAAACUCUGCUUGGCUGUCGGACAUCUCGGUCUGGAUGAGGGAACACCACCUAAAGCUCAACCUGGCAAAAUCUGAGCUUCUCAUCAUCCCAGCCUGUCCCUCAAUCAACCACAACCUUGCUGUACAGCUCGGCUCACCCACACUCAAGCCAACCAGGAAGGCCAGGAACCUUGGGGUGAUUCUUGAUGACAGCUUGACCUUUACAGACCACAUCUCAAUAACUGCACGGUCCUGUAGGUUCAUCCUGUACAACAUCAAGAAAAUCAGACCCUACAUCACUGAACGGGCUACACAACUACUAGUCCAAGCUCUUGUUAUCUCAAAACAGGACUUCUGCAACAAACAACUCUCGAGACUCCCAGCCAGCUGUAUCAAACCCCUUCAAAUGAUUCAGAAUGCAGCAGCACGCCUUGUCUUCAACAAGCCCAAGAGAACCCAUGUCACACCCCUCUUCAUCUCCCUCCACCGACUUCCUGUAGCCACCCGUAUCAAAAUUAAAGCCCUUGAUGCUCACCUACAAGACCUUGUCUGGAACAGCACCCUCCUACCUCAACUCUCUCCUGAAGGCUUACAUUCCCUCACGCAAUCUGCGUUCAAUCAACGACCAACGCUUAGUAGUACCUACACAGCGUGGCUCAAGGUCCCUUUCAAGAACCUUAAUACUAACUGUUCCUCAGUGGUGGAAUGAACUUCCAACCUCAAUCCGGACCACAGAAUCUCUCACCAUCUUCAGGAAACAGCUAAAGACCCACCUCUUCCGUGAACACCUAACCAACCCAAAAAAAAAAAAAAAAAAAAAAAAAACUCUGGCAAUUUCACCUCUACUCUGCACACUUUGCUUCUUCUGGAGCUCAAUUAAUGGAUCUUGUAUGGUAGCACUACUUGUAUUGUUCUCUGCUUGAUAUCGCUUUGCUUGUAUUUUCUCAUUUGUAAGUCACUUUGGAUAAAAGCGUCUGCUAAAUGAAUAAAUGUAAAUGUAACUGCCUCGGGUAGUCGCACAAUCCGUAAUUUGGAUCUGGAACCUCUAUGUCAGUCCACUGGGGAAACUGGACUGACAUGAAUGGUGGCCAGACAUCCUUAUGUACGCUGGCAUGAUGAUCUCCUUGCUCUCCUGCUGCUUCCAUGUUGAGGCGAAGUAUUCCGUCAUGUAAUGGAGGCUGAGACGGAAGCAAGUUCAGGUAUGGCAGUUUAAUCAAACAACAACAAGUCCCAAGAAUAAAGCAGAAGACAAUAAUCAUGAACAUGCAGUGAUCAGCUGAUCAGGCAAACAGCACAAACAGGGCAGGGCAAAGAGACAAAGUUGUAAACGUAAGCAAGGUCAAAACACCAGAAUAAACAGACACGAUAUAAGGCUUGGUAAUGACAGAGACAAGGCAACUUAGCGUAUACUCUGCAAUGACUAAGUGUUUGAACAGUCUCUUAUAUGUGUGGUGUGAUUGUGAGUAUAAGCAGGAUGCAGGUGUGUGUGAUUAGAAUGAAGGUGUGUUCUGGGAAUUGUGGUCCAUGACGGCCACAUAUUCAAUGCCCUAUUUAUACAGUCUUAUCUUUAGUUUAUGCCCAAUUAUCUCAUUCUUUUGGAAUCCCAAUAUGCUUUAUUAACGUCUUUUUUUGAUUCCCCUUAAACACUACUUAUUGGAUUUUAAAAUACCAUUAGAACGAGCUUUUCUCGUUCUGAAAUCCCCUUAACACACAUUUUCAGCCAUUGGAUAUCCCCUUAUCUUCAUCUUUUUCUUUUGGGUAUUUUAAACAUUUUCCAAGGCCCUUACUGCCAUUCCCACUUCUGUUAAUCAAGCUGUGCGCAUCUCAUCGCCCGUUGUCCUGAACAAUUUGGAUAUUUUCAUCACUUCUUCAUUAUGGGUGAGAUUUAUUUUAAUUACUGCUUAAUGUUACAAAUAUUUCUUCUCUAAUUCUAAGUAUGUUUAUAUGCUUUUUGGUGCUUCUUAGACAUUCUGUGAGUAUGUGUGUGUGUGUGUGUGUGUGUGUGUGUGUGUGUGUGUGCGUGUGUGUGUGUGUUUCUCUUGAACAUUUUUGUGAAUGUGUGGGUGUGUGUGUUUUUCUCAAAACAUCAUAUGAGUGUGUUUUUUUUUAAUUUUAUGCUUUUAUCAUGCCAUGUAUUGAUACCUGUUUCCUACAUUCUUUGCAUGUGCUUGUACAUGUAUUUAUGUAAAUAUAUUUGAAGUGUUACCACUACUGUUUUAUCAAAUUUUUUGUCCUUUCUCUCUGAUCUCUGUCCAGCUGAUCAACGCCCACCUGCAGCUGGACUCUCUCGACUGCUCAAUCUCACAGGCCUGGGUGAAUAUAUAUGCCAUCUGCUGGCUUAUUUGGCCAUCGAUAUUACAGCUCUGCUGGAACGUCUCUGCUCUUCACCUGUACCCACAGGGUUUCCUUAUUCUCCCACUUAUCGUAUCAUUCCAUAGGUUCGGUGACCUAUGUUCAUGCUUCCACUCAAACUGAAGUUCAACUUCUUCCCAUAACUUCUGUGGAGGGUUCGUUUAUUCUUUCCUCUGAUGAUGAUAGUAGCUUUGCUGCAAACACAUCAUAUGACCUUUCACCUACAAAUUACUCUCCUACAAGACCUAUUCCCUCCCCAGAAUAUGUGUAUGAUAGUGAUUCUCAAUAAACUACAUACUCUGUUACCCUCGUGUUUUCCUGUGUCUUAAAUUUAUUCCCACAUUCCCCCUUUGAGGAUCUCUAAGCCUCACUCUUCUCUUAAUUUAAGGGAUACCUAUGUAUAAAUACUGCCUUUUUCAACCUUUGGCCACCAUGCGUCAACUGUUUUAUUGUUACUGUUAUAUACCCUGCGUGCAGUCUGUCCAAUCUCUCCAGCCCUAUAUCAUCCACUGCAGUGGAGUCCUCUACAAUUGCCUGACCUGGGUGUCGUGAACAAAUUUCGAGUUAUCGGAGGUAAAAAGUCCACUCUGGUAUUGCUGUUCCAUUCAAAAUAACACGGCAGCUGUAAAACUGACCUUUCACCAGGCUGAGCACGACACACAUACCAAUACACUGCCAUGGCUUCUACUUGUGCAGAUGACUAAGUCAAGGUGCUCAGGUAAUUAGUUGAUGUGAAUUGAUACUAUGUUGUUAUACUGUACAUAAGUGAUACAAUUUGACUAUAUUCUGUUGACUACGUCAAGCACUAACAAUGCUCCUAUUUUUAACUACGUCCAAUGAUAAUGUCCCUAUAGCGUCCCUGUUUUAUCGGAUAGGCCUUAUUGACCACUACCUUGUAUCUUCAGGACUCAAGGGUUCAUUUGCUUUUCCCAAAAGAAGUCUGACCCAGGGGUGGGCGACAAAAGCUCUGAACCCAGUUGCGAGGAAAAAUUCCCACCCUGCCAGCACUUUGUGCUCGACAGUGGCUACACCUGGCUCAGUUUUUGACAAUAUGUGUCAAUGUAACCACAAUACACAUCAUGAUAUAAGUAUAAACAUUCUAAGAGUCCAUUCUGAUCCAUGCUUCAUUGUUCAUGGGGCUCAUGCCACAAACAGUUCAUCAUGCUUUAUGUCCAUAAGGUGGUCCACACGGGGAACACCUUGUGUUAUGUCCUUGUCCACCUCUACGGAAACGAUGUCUUCGACCCAGAUACUUUGCAUAUUGCAGGGGGCCGCCCUUGGGGAGAGGUUAGGCUAGCACUUACACCCAGGGCAUGGCUCAUCGAUCCUCUUUUACUAUACUGAGUUCCAGGACCUCUUGUUUCUCCUGCGCCAGAAGUCCUGCCUUAUGCAAGUACUGCAAGUGAUGACUUGUGGUGUGAAGUCCAGUGAAGUCCGUUCUCUGCACCUAGACACUUAGCAUACUCGCAUAUGCUAACAGCAAGCCUUGAUCAUGCAUUACAGAGUGUAGCUUCAGCAUUUUUUACUUGUUAUAAUUGCCAUGCAAUAACAACUAGUAGGUGUGUAAGUGACCCAAUGUUUUCAUGCCAAAUGGGGUUAUGCAAACAUCAGUAUAAAAAUUUCCAGUAUCAUAUAAGUAGAUACCAGUAUCUACUAGUAUUAACACUGCAUAAAAUACCUGCAAGCUUGAGUAUUCCAGAACAUUUAAUACACAUUGUAAUAUAACCCCCCUCCCCCCUUUUGAGGCGGACAUGCUUCAACCAUAGGCGAGAAGGGAACGAGGGACCGGUUCUAAGGCUGGACAACCACAUACUGGCCAGCAAUGUUAUUAACAGCAACUAGGAUAAGGCGCUUGCCAAGGGGGAUGACACAGCAGAUAACACCUGCUGAGCAAAGAAACAACUAUGGGUAACUGGUGAUCUUUAAUAGACCUACUUGUGCGGCCAAUUGGACAGAUUGUAGCAUGCCUGCUCUCUGAUGCAGAAAAUCAGUCCCAGGUCACUGGGACUUGCUGCCUGUCGGCGUGCUCUGUGCUCUCCCCUCCUCUUAACUUGUCCACGUAUUCUGUGGGAUGGACCCGCCUGGGGGUCGUCUGGAUCGCCAUCGCUUGCGAAGUCUAGGUCUUCUUGAUUAACUACAGAGUGUGUGUCAUCUGCUUCUCCGGCGGGAUGCAGAAGUCUACCUUUCCCUCCUUGAUUAGGAUGCUGGAGCCUAUCUUCCCCAUCCUCAGUAGGGCGCAAAAGUCUGCCUUUUCCCACCCCAUGGCUGCAGUGGUUUAGGUCAUACCAGUGCUCCUUACCUUCAACCUUUACUGCAGUUGGGGUUGCUGCAACCACCUUAAAUGGUCCUUCCCUUCGAGGGUCAUUGAAGUGCUUCCUUUUGAACGUGCGUAUGUACACGUAGUCCCCUGGUUCCACAAGUCUUUCAGGUGUGGUGACGUCUUCACCAUGGAUUGCCUCGUGCACCUGCGAAUACAAAUGCCUGUGGAUUUGGGUUAGGUGGCACACAUAUUCCUGAAUUUCGCCCUCUAGUUGUUCAAGAGGUGGGCCCUUGUAGGGACCCUGAGUAAACGCCAGUAUUCCAGCAUGAUAACGACCCCAAACAUGCCUCCAAGAUGACCACUGCCUUGCUAAAGAAGCUGAAGGUGAAGGGGAUGGACUAAACCCUAUUGAGCAUCUGUGGGGCAUCCUCAAAUGGAAGGUGGAGGAGCACAAGGUCUCUGACAUCCACCAGCUCCGUGAAGUCAUCAUGGAGGAGUGGAAGAAGACUCCAGUGGCAACCUGUGAAGCUCUGGUGAACUCCAUGCCCAGGAGUGUUAAGGCAGUGCUGGAAAAUAAUGGUGGCCACACAAAAUAUUGACACUUUGGGCCCAAUAUGGACAUUUUCACUUAGGAGUGUACUUACUUUUAUUGGCAGCAGUUUAGACAUUAAUGUCUAUGUGUUGAGUUAUUUUGAGGGGACAGCAAAUCUUCACUGUUACCCAAGCUGUACACUCACUACUUUACAUUGCAUCAAAGUGUCAUUUCUCCAGUGUUGUCACAUGAAAAGAUAUAAUCAAACAUUUACACAAAUGUGAGGGGUGUACUCACUUUUGUGAGAUACUGUAUAUGCCUUUGGUUCUGGAAUGUGCCCUAUAGGGGCUGUGAAGCUCUUGCAGACAUUGUGUUUUAUGCAUGUCUCGCAUUGAUUUAGUUCCUUAUUAAUCAUGCUAGCUAAGUAGGGGGACCACCAAACCUCCCUGAUUUUCCUCAAGGUUUCUCCUCUACUAGCAUGGUCCACCCCAUGUGCAUCUUUUAUGAGCAGCAGUAUGAGACUCAGUGGGGCCACACACAAGCCUUCUACACUUCUACACUCCGCCACAGCCCUAUGCCUCGUUCUUUCUUUGCUCCUCUAGCUAUCCAUUUAGCUAUUUCUGCCUCACUAGCCUCUUUUUGUAUUUCCACAAUGUGUUCCACAUUAUCCUCUUGCGGGUGUCGGAUCUCUUCCUCCCCCAGGUUUAUCAAGGCCAUCAUUGGUGCUGUUCCUAAAGCAGCUUUCUUUGCUGCCUCAUCUGCUGCUGUGUUACCCCUAGUAACAAAAGUACCAUCAGUCUUGUGAGCCUGACAUUUCACGAUCGCAAGUUCCGCUGGCAAGGUCAUAGCAUACAACAAGUAUGAUAUAGCUGAGUAAUUGUGGACCCAUCUGCCCUCUGAAAUCCUCUCUGUGCCGAUAUAGGCCCAAAUACAUGACAUACUCCAUAUGCAUAUGCUGAAUCAAUAUCAAUUGUACAGCUUUUACCACAUCCUAGUUCACACGCAGCAGUCAGAGCCCUUAUUUCUGCCAAUUGUGCUGAGCAGGGUUGGGGUAAAGAGAACUCCAUUACUGUUUUAAAUGAAAGAGGAUCCACCCUAGCCUCUACCACAGCAGACCCAGCUUUAUUCCCUGUAUCAGCUCGAAAACACGACCCAUCUACAAAGAACACAUGUGUGUUUGACAAGGGCUGAUUCUCUAUCAGGGUUUGUCAAUGCAGGUGCUGACGUCAAUGUAGCUUUGAGUGAUUCAAAUGCAGCUAACGCCCCAGGGGUCCAGGUAAGAGGAGCAUUUGGCUGUGUUUGGUCUGCGCUUUUGAUUAAAUCACGGAGAGGUUGAACUAUUAGCACAAAGUCACAGACCCAUGGUUGGCUAAAACCCGCCAUUCCUAAGAAUGCAAACUUUUGUUGUACGGUUUGCGGUGCUUUCCAAAUGACUUCCAUGUGCUUAGGCGAAAUUUGUGGCUUGUCCCUUCUAGGACACGUCUCAAGUACUCUACUUUAGGUUUACAAAACUGGAGUUUUUCUCUACUCACUUUGUGGCCAUUUUCAGAUGGAAUAGUUAACUCCUUUACCGAAUCUUCCUGACAUUGUUCUUUGGUCGGGCUACAGAGUAAAAUGUCGUCCACGUACUGCAACAGGGUACUAUGACAAUUCAGAGUAUCAAGGUCACAAGCUAGAACCUGGUUGAAUAUAGAAGGGCUUUCACAAUAUCCCUGGGGAAGUCUCGUGUAUGUGUAUUGUUGUCCUUCAUAAGUGAAUGCAAAUAGAUGCUGCGAAUCUGGGUGGAGAGGUACACUAAAAAAUGCAGAGCACAGAUCAAUUACCGUAUACCACUUUGUUCCCUCAGGUAUGUUUGAUAAAAAUGUGUGUGUGUCUGGAACAAUUGGCAUUUCAGGUACCACUAUUUGAUUGAUAGCUCUCAAAUCAUGCAUCAACCUCCAUUUAUCUGAAUCGGGCUUCUUGACAGGAAAGAUUGGAGUGUUGCAAGGGCUCCUGGUGGGAAUCAAUACACCUGCUUCGAUUAGCCCUUGUAUGGUUGGUCUUAUACCUUCCCUAUCUUUUGAGGACAAUGGGUAUUGUCUUUGAUAUUGAAGGCAAAUGUUCCCUUUGACUUUUAUCUUUGCUAGCCCUCCUGAUUCAACUAACCCUACAUCUGUUGGGUGCUUUGUCCAUAACUCAUCUGGCACUUUUCUUAGCAGUUCUUGGAUCUUUUCCUUCCUCUACCAUUACCAUCUGUUUUUGCCCUGCAGCUACCUUAUGAAUCACGACGCAUGUUGCUACCAUUGGGUCUACUGCUGUUACAGAGAUUCGUAUGAACUGCCCAUCAGGUGACCUAAGUAUGGGUUCUCAGUUGGUUUCCAUUCCCUCACUUCCCUAGCCUGCUUAACCAUUGGUCCUAAAUCUUUAGAUUCAAACUUAUUUGCGACCAUAAGAGAGACAUGGGGGACUGCACCCUCCACUUGGUACCAAUUUUUCAGUCUUUCUGGGAGUUGUACCAUGUCUGCUAUCCCUUUGGGGCCCACUUAUUACAUUCAAAUUCUGUACUGCUGCUUUACAUCCUUCUUCGAGUUCUUCCCACAACUGGGCAAACUCCUCAGAGAGAAUAUAGCAGGGGUCUCUGUAUAGUAACAUCAUCGAGUAUAAGUUCCUGAGGUUCUGUAAAGCAUAAAGUCUGUAUUUUUCCCGAGAAGCCCAUAGUUUGAAUUGCUUUACACAUGAGGGGGAGCUGUGAGCCUUCUUUCCCGAUGCUUGAAUAGUAGCCCCUGUAUCAAUCAUGAAGGGUACAUUUAAUCCCUUCCCAACCGACACCGGGACCGUUGGUUCUUGUUCCGGGUGCAGUGUGGUGACAUACUGCAUCAGCUCCCCUUCUGACUUCUCUGGGCAUCUUCAACUCUGGUGUGGGUUUGUCCCUCCAUUUGGGCCAAACAUCGACCCUCCAGGAGGCACUGGGGGCUGUCAUUGUUGUUCCAACCAUUGGUUCCCUCGUCCCUGUCCCAUGGCUUGUGCCCCUAGGGUCUGACCUCUCCUCUCAGCCCUAUCCACAUGAUCUCCCCAUGUGUACCUGGCCAUUGCCUGUGGACAAUUUCUCCUGCAUUUCUCCUGCCAUUGCCUGUGCCUUGGGUCUCCACAUGUCCAACAUCCUUUAGCAGACAUGCUCUGUCUGGUGGGUCCUUGCAUUGGACCUCCACGAAAGAACCCUCUGCCUCGGCCCCUGUUCCGAGGCAUCAGUCCUUGGAAUCUGUAAUUCUGGGGAGCUUGGGGCCUUCCUGCAUACAUGUAUUCAACAGGUGCUAGCUGCAUUGUAGGUAUCUGUACAGGAGCGUAUGUCACUCGUGCUUGUGUCGGUGCUGCUACUGGGAUGGCGGCCACAAUUGGCUGUCCCUGAGGUGCCGUGGCUUGUGGUGUCACCAUCAGCGCAGCUUGUUUGGCACUCUUUCUUCUUUUCCUUCUUUUCUUGCUUUGCUCUUACUAUCUCUCCCAGCUGUACCUUGUACAGUUGGGUCAUCAAUGCCUCGGCUGCUUCUUUAAUUUCCUUUUUCUUUUUCCUGUAUUGAUCUACAUUAUGUGUUACAUGUGGUAUGAAUGAGUUCCAUUCUAUUGUAUUCAGUCCCACUACGCCUUCAAAUUUUUCUUGCACAUCCUCAGGUAGGGCCUUCUUUAGCAUCAUGAGUGGCUAGACCGAAUCCCAUUCUCAUAAAAUACCCAACCAUAUGUGUUCUAGUCUGAUGAGAGCAAUUCCAAAAGCUAUAAUAGUUCCAUAAUUACAAAAGGUUUGUUUUAUCACCAAAAGAACACCAUCUCCACGGUGAAGCACGGUGGUGGCAGCAUCACGCUUUAGAGCUGCUUUUCUUCAUCCAGAACUGGGGUUUUUAUCAAGGUGGAGGGAAUCAUGAUUAUCUACAAAAAAAACAAUGGAUUUUAGUGCAGAACCUUCAGGUGUCUACUAGUGAACUGAAGAUGGAAAGGAAUUUCACCUUUCAGCAGGAAUAUGACCCAAAGCACACGUCCACAUCAACAAAGGAAUGCCCAAGCCCAGACCUGAACCCAACUAAAAAUCUGUGUGGUGACCUGAAGCGGGAUGUGCACAGGAGACGUCUUCACAAUCUGAUGGAUCUGGAAUGUUUUUGUAAGAAAGAUGGGGAAAAUAUUGCUAGCUUGGGAAAAAAAAAAAGUACAAACUGUAACUCGUGGACUUUAAGCUAAUGUCGUCGUGAGAGACGGACCGCUGUAACCGCCAGCCGCAGUUUUCACCGUGGAACUGAAGGGACAAGGGCUGUGGAGAACUGUGCUGAGUAGCACGGUAACUACACUUGUGUAAGGGUGGAACUCCGCCGAACCUGCGUCGCUGAAUCGACUAUUACCUGCUGGACCCUCUGCAGCGGAUUCAUUCACUCAGCACGUCUCCGAGUCAGAUGAUUCUUCUCUUCGUUUUUUUUUUGUAUGUGCACCAACUCACGGGCCCCAACAGAAAACCCAAGCGCUUAGUAAAGGUUUUGAACAUUUAACAAAAAAGGGUUUAAGUUGUUAUAUCCAAACUAUACUGUUUGUGGUGUUUAAUAAGUAAGAAAGGAAUAUUUGAGUUUACUAAUCUAAAUUUGCCUUAUAUACAUUCAUACAGUUUGAGGUUUUUUUUUGAGUUAAAGCAUAAGGAAAAUAAACUUAUUUUUGUUAUACAUAUUAUUUGGCUGCAUUGAACUUUUCUUUUCCAUUUAAUAAGGUCUGUAUAUAUUUGACAUAGUUAUAUUUGUUUCUGGGGAAUACCCAUAUAGCUCAUAGUGUGUGAGUGUGGUGAUUCUUCAGUGGAGGCACCGCACUGUUAUUUUCUUGAUUAAAUCAUUUAUAUACAUGUAUGCCUGUGAUGACAUCGUCUACUGGUAGACAGAGGUUAGCCAAUUCACCAUCAACUGCUAAGUACUCAGGAUCCUGUUACUUUAAAACCAUUUAAAGUAGUAACCUUAUCUAAUAUUACACUUCCAGCGCCAGGAAGGGGUUAUAUUAUUAUUAUUAUUAUUAUUAUUAUUAUUAUUAUUAUUAUUAUUAUUAUGAUCUCCUCUUCCUCUGUGUGUUUUUUUCCUCUUUAGUCCUCCCCUGCUUUCUCUUCGCCACUCUUUUCCACUGCAGGAAGAUGGGAACGUUCUCGUCGUCUCCCUUUUGUUCUCCUGGAGAACCCAUCAUGAAGGACUCACAGGAUCCGCUCAUACCAUCGGGAGACACAGAGGCACACGCGGACAAAGACAGCACGUUCCCUGUACCUGUGUGAACCAGGAAGUGACUUCAACAGACGGGAGUGACCGAGACUCGUGUGUGUGUGUGUGCGUGCGCGCGUGUGUGCGCGUGUGUGAGCGUGUGUUUGUGUGUGUGUGUGUGUGUAAGACAAAAUGAUGCCCCAUUAAUCCAAAUGAAGUGAAAUGAUCUGAAUGGUUUAAUUUAUUUAUUUCUGUCUUUAUUGUACUCAUAAUCUGUAAACAAAUCUUCAGUGAGUCAGAUCUAAAGAUCAGACUCUGUCAUUUUAUUUGAUUUUUUUUCUGAAUUACUCUCGGAUCUUUGGGGCAUUUGUGCUUGAAUAUUCCAGUUUAAUUUAUUCUCCAUUUUUGAGAUAUCAGCUCUGUAAAUGACUCUUCUUCAGAUUUAAUUCGUUUUUAUCUUUAUUUUGUGACCGUAUUUAAUUCUGAAUAUUUUACGAUUUAAAACCGGAAUCUUUAGGACAUUUUGGAGGAAGAAUUGCGGCUCAUAAAUUGUUUAACGCACACUUAGUUUCUCGGGUGAGCGCAUUCUAUAAUAGAUUCAUAUGAAUCAUCUGUGAUUGAUUCUUUGCCGACUCUGAAUGUGAAUCAAAGUAAACGUGCGAUGAAACAGUCUGGAUGGUUUAAUGUAAUUUAACCUCUGUUUAAUUUAACCUGGCUAUUAUGUUAAUGAUUUCAUCUGCAUAUGCAAAUGAAUCUUCUUCUAAUUGCUCACUGAAUCACUCUCGUGUCACUUCAGUUGUUUUCUGUUUGCUGUUUUCAAAUUUGAUUUUAUAAAUGGAAUUGGACACACAUGAUCCUAAAGUGAUCUAAACAGCUCUAUGAACGAUUCUUGUGCGCUGGAAGCCGAGUGACGUUUGUAAACGAAUCGUUUUGAAGUGACUCUGAAUCACUUUAGGGUUUUUAUUUGUUUAAGGUACGUACGUGAGGAAUCCACCUCGGUGAAUCAAAAGGUUUCAUUUUACAGCAAUGACUCGUACUCAUGGAAAUGAUUCUUCUGAAUUUGUUUGUGAACGAAUCUGUUUUACGUACCAUGUAUAUUAUAGCUUUUCAUUUUCAUCAACCCAUGACGCUUGAUUUUGGAGUGUGUAGUGUAAAUAUGGAUCAGAUUUUUCAACUUGUGCCUUGUUACUGAAUGCUGAAUACACUCCUCCUGAACUACUGGUGGAACAGGAUAUAUUUGACUCGGUCGGUGAUUUGAAUGUAAUGUUAUAUUUACAGGACUUGUGUAAUUGGGGAAACCAGUCAAACAAACGAACAAUUAUUUACUUAGCACUUUUAGUCAUGUCAGUAAGAUUAGUUUUGUUGAUUUGAAAUGUUUGUGGUUUGUUUAUGAUGUUUUCUUAAAGGGCUGGAGUUUGUCACUAAUAACUGAUUAAGCCACACUUCAAAGUGUUAUUGUAUUGUAUUUCUUCUGAGUCUGCACUAGGGUUAAUGAGUGACUACAGUGAGGAUGUGAAUGUUACAGAGCCUGUUUUGGGGGCUGGGACAAUGCUGUAGGGUUAUUUAUUAGUUGAGAGAUUAGUAUUUAUUUUUUUGUUUCUGUGGCUCUUCCUGCUGAAAUAAAAAGCAAAUGCUGCGGCUUUAUUAAAAGCCAGAAAGUUGAAUAAACUGUGUUUUUAUUUA